GCAGCUGCCGGACACCAGGAGACGAUGGAAGGUCUAUAGUGUUACAGCUCUGACCCAGGAAGUCCCAGGGUCUUGCCUUCCAGAAGGGUCGCGGCUCUUCCCUCCCUCAGUCCAACGAACAGGAGCACGUCACCUCCCGCAGCUCGGGGAGCUGGCCAGGAACGUGUUACAGCCCGUUUCGCUCCUGUCCGCAGCUGGGUGAGGCAGCCAGGAAAAUAUUACAGCUCUUCUCACGCCCGCCAUUCAGCAGGUCCUGACUUCUUGUGUGACAUCCAGAAGAAAGGGGUUACACAGACAGCUGGAGGGUGAGCAAAGUGGAGAAGUUCUCAGCAGAGAGGAGACUGGAGUGAGUUGCCCCUACCCGCAGGUGCCAACUGUAAUACAUCAGUAGCUGAACAGCUCAUUGCCCUCAAGUGUUCUUGCUCAUGCCUGGCUGAGUUAUUGAAGAAAUUGCUCAGAUCUCAAGCCCUUGUAGAUCACUGGUCCUGGCAGAUGUUAUUAUACACCCGUGAUAUUGAUGGCAGUGGCUGCUGCUGUCGUGGCUGCUGCUAUCACGCCUGCUGCAACACAGAGGUGCGACUGGGGCUGCACAUUUCACGGAGGUGUUGGGAGUUCCGCCCCUUCUGAUGUGGGGAAAGAGAUCCCCAGGUGCCCCUGCAUCUGCCCAAACUGUGGCUGUGGAUCGGAGGCUCCAGGUUGGCAGGUUGGGAGCUUCCGGGUGCAGCUGCGACCGCCCUCCCAGGUGCAGGACCCUGGUGUUUCUGCAGCCUGCACCCUUGGGGGCCCCAGGAAAGACCCAUAUCCUUGCAGGCUUGGAGGUGUUUGCUUCUUCUGCCUGGCCUCUCUCGGCUCCCGGUGCAUGCUCUCAUAUCUGAGUGGGGGUUGGUGCUGAGCCCCGGGGCCGUGAAUUGCAGCAGGAGGCAGAUUUAUUCCUGGGCAGAAGGUGGCAGAUCCCAAGUAAGGGGACCUUCAAGCCAGGGAGGGCCUGAAGGCUGGUGGCUGGGCUACCAGUCCCACCGACCAGAGUGGGGAUUCGUGGGCCUCUUCUGGGCCACCCAUAGCCACCCAUGGACCAAUCAGCAAGCACAUCCUCCCCUCUGAGGUCCGUAAAAGCCCUGGGCGCAGCCUGAGCAGGGCAGAGGAAGGCCAGAGGUGAAGGAGUCAGAGAGGCGACAGGAUAGGCAGCUGCCGAGAGAAGUACGCCUCUCUGCUGAGACCUGGAGAUGACGGGAAGGCCAGAUGCAGAGAGGAGCUACCCUCUCUGCUUAGAGCUGCCAGGAGGAGCUACCAACCUUCUCUGCUGAGAGCUGCAGAGAUGACCUGCUGGCAGAGAGGAGCUACCCACUGCGGGUCUCCUCUGAUCUGUUGUAAUGCUGAAUAAAGCUUCUUUUCAUCUUGUUCACCUUCCACUUGUCUGCAUACCUCAUUCUACCCGGACGCAAGCAAGAACUCGAGCAAAGGCACAACCAGCCACAGAGGUUUCUGGCCAGAAAAUCGACACCCCAAAAGUCCUAUAACAAUCUGAUUCUAAAAGCAACAUCAUCUUUUCAAUGUAAUUCUAAAAGAAUUUGGGAUUAUUUUAUUUAAUUUCAGGAUCCCCUCUGAAGAAAAUCAACUUACAAAGGAUGGCAGGUCUUAAGAAAGGUACUUAGCAAGUGCUGGUACAUUCUAAGCAAUCAAUAUUUGUCAAUGUUCAGUAAUUGUACAAUUGUACUAGAGAAAACAAUUCCAGGGGCUUAAAAUUAUCUUAUACAAGGAUCCACUUUAUUAUUAUUUUUUCUGUUUGUUUUGGAUAAAUUACUGACUCCUUAUCUCAGUUAUGUUAUGUGUUAAAUGUUUACAGUGUUAUUUUGUAUCUCUCAAGGGCUUUUGUUAGAAUUUUCAAUGAGAUACCUUAAAACCUCUAAAAAGAAAAUGGAUGUUAUAAGUAAAUAAAAAUAAGUCUGAAUGGC
rnacentral:lncRNA from 1 species